GACGAACGCUGGCGGCGUGCUUAACACAUGCAAGUCGAACGGUAAGGCUCCAGCUUGCUGGGGUACACGAGUGGCGAACGGGUGAGUAACACGUGGGUGACCUGCCCUGCACUUCGGGAUAAGCCUGGGAAACUGGGUCUAAUACCGGAUAGGACCGCACCGUGAGGGUGUGGUGGAAAGUUUUUUCGGUGUGGGAUGGGCCCGCGGCCUAUCAGCUUGUUGGUGGGGUAAUGGCCUACCAAGGCGGCGACGGGUAGCCGGCCUGAGAGGGUGGACGGCCACAUUGGGACUGAGACACGGCCCAGACUCCUACGGGAGGCAGCAGUGGGGAAUAUUGCACAAUGGGCGGAAGCCUGAUGCAGCGACGCCGCGUGGGGGAUGACGGCCUUCGGGUUGUAAACUCCUUUCACCAUCGACGAAGGGUUUCUGACGGUAGAUGGAGAAGAAGCACCGGCUAACUACGUGCCAGCAGCCGCGGUAAUACGUAGGGUGCGAGCGUUGUCCGGAAUUACUGGGCGUAAAGAGCUCGUAGGUGGUUUGUCGCGUCGUCUGUGAAAUUCCGGGGCUUAACUCCGGGCGUGCAGGCGAUACGGGCAUAACUUGAGUACUGUAGGGGAGACUGGAAUUCCUGGUGUGGCGGUGAAAUGCGCAGAUAUCAGGAGGAACACCGGUGGCGAAGGCGGGUCUCUGGGCAGUAACUGACGCUGAGGAGCGAAAGCAUGGGGAGCGAACAGGAUUAGAUACCCUGGUAGUCCAUGCCGUAAACGGUGGGCGCUAGGUGUGGGUUUCCUUCCACGGGAUCCGUGCCGUAGCUAACGCAUUAAGCGCCCCGCCUGGGGAGUACGGCCGCAAGGCUAAAACUCAAAGGAAUUGACGGGGGCCCGCACAAGCGGCGGAGCAUGUGGGUUAAUUCGAUGCAACGCGAAGAACCUUACCUGGGCUUGACAUAUACAGGAUCGCGCCAGAGAUGGUGUUUCCCUUGUGGCUUGUAUACAGGUGGUGCAUGGUUGUCGUCAGCUCGUGUCGUGAGAUGUUGGGUUAAGUCCCGCAACGAGCGCAACCCUUGUCUUAUGUUGCCAGCACGUUGUGGUGGGGACUCGUAAGAAACUGCCGGGGUUAACUCGGAGGAAGGUGGGGAUGACGUCAAAUCAUCAUGCCCCUUAUGUCCAGGGCUUCACACAUGCUACAAUGGUCGGUACAGUGGGUUGCCAGUCCGUGAGGGCGAGCUAAUCCCGCAAAGCCGGUCUCAGUUCGGAUCGGGGUCUGCAACUCGACCCCGUGAAGUCGGAGUCGCUAGUAAUCGCAGAUCAGCAACGCUGCGGUGAAUACGUUCCCGGGCCU
rnacentral:rRNA from 1 species